rnacentral:rRNA from 1 species
GACGAACGCUGGCGGCGUGCCUAAUACAUGCAAGUCGAACGCUUCUUUCCUCCCGAGUGCUUGCACUCAAUUGGAAAGAGGAGUGGCGGACGGGUGAGUAACACGUGGGUAAUCUACCCAUCAGAGGGGGAUAACACUUGGAAACAGGUGCUAAUACCGCAUAACAGUUUAUGCCGCAUGGCAUAAGAGUGAAAGGCGCUUUCGGGUGUCGCUGAUGGAUGGACCCGCGGUGCAUUAGCUAGUUGGUGAGGUAACGGCUCACCAAGGCCACGAUGCAUAGCCGACCUGAGAGGGUGAUCGGCCACACUGGGACUGAGACACGGCCCAGACUCCUACGGGAGGCAGCAGUAGGGAAUCUUCGGCAAUGGACGAAAGUCUGACCGAGCAACGCCGCGUGAGUGAAGAAGGUUUUCGGAUCGUAAAACUCUGUUGUUAGAGAAGAACAAGGACGUUAGUAACUGAACGUCCCCUGACGGUAUCUAACCAGAAAGCCACGGCUAACUACGUGCCAGCCGCCG